GGAGAAGUCGCCGGGUUUCUGCUUGCUGGUCGCGAAAUUUUAUAGCUAUAAUUAACUCAGGACGGAACAGCUAGCAGAAUCCUCAGCGUUCGGGCAAAGGGCAGAGAAUACAGCCAGAAGCAACAUGUAAAUCUAAUGACCUUCUCCAGGAGUUGAGGACUCACUACCUCGCUGAAUUCUCAGAGUCAAAAUGCGUCUUUACCUGCUGAUCCCGGAACAGUCCCCUGCUGUUGCAUUGAAUGAAUCUCAUCUCACUUCCUCGAGUCAGCCCUGCCUGUAUUUAAUGAUCACAAACCUUAUCCUUACGUUGCCAGCAGUAACAUUCUGCAUCCCUCACCCACUCCACUGUGUCCUUUUCCUCCCACUGAUCUUCACUAUGCCUUUUCUAGGGGAACUCUGAACAGUAUUUCUGAGAAGGGGUAGGUAAUGUGUGCUUUGCUUCAGUCUGAGUGGAUUCCAUCAACCUCUGCAUAGAGCAGGGGUGGAAAGAAAUCCCGUGUCAUUGCAGCUUCUUUUCAAUCUAAGCUUUCAUGGCCUUAUUAUGUAGUUUACAUGUUUCUGUCAGACAACAGGAUGUUUUGCCUAUAUCAUUCUAUUUCCCUUUCUCAGAUGUUGGAGAUGCCAUAGUAAUUAAUGAAGUACAAAUCCAUUUUAAAAUAUCUUACUCCUGGCCAGGCGCAGUGGCUCACUUCUGUAAUCCCAGCACUUUGGGAGGCAGAGGCGAGCAGACCACUUGAGGUCAGGAGUUUGAGACUAGCCUGGCCAACAUGGUAAAACCCUGUCUCUACUAAAAAUACGAAAAUGAGCCGGUGUGGUGGCAGGCGCCUGUAGUCCCAGCUCCUCCGGAGGCUGAGGCAGAAGAAUCGCUUGAACCCAGGAGGCAGAGGUUGCAGUGAGCCAAGAUCUCGCCACUGCGCUCCAGCCUGGGUGACAGAGUGAGACUCCGACUCAAAAAAAUCAUACUCCUUUCUGCUUGGUGUAUGUGUCUUUCCUUAAAGUUAGAUAUUAAAAGUACAAUAGAGCCACAGUCUCUUAUUUGGAAGUUUUGGGGUCAGAUAACUUUCAGAAUUCAGAUUGUUUCAGAUUUUUCUAAAAGUAAUAAUGCACAUAUGAUGUGGUUAUAUAAUGCUGUGGGCUCUGGGACAACACCUGAUAGUCAAACAUAUUAUUGUUACUAUAGCAAAAUGUAUGAAUAUUUUCACACUUCAUGGAUGCGUAAAGAUUAUACAUAGCUUCGUGUCAACUCAGGUCAACUUUUGUUGCCAAAUAAGUUACAAAAAAACUUAUUUUGUAGAGCUUUUUGGAUUUCAAAAUGGUAGAUAGGGAUUGUGGACCUGUCUUAGUAUAAGUACCUAUUGAGAGUCUGUGAAAUUUUUUUACUUUAAAGAAUAUUUUCCAUAUUCCAAAAGGUUGGAAACCACAGUUAUAUUGUAUAAGCAGGGGUCACAAACUCAAGUGCAAAGGCCAGUAAAAUAAAUAAGUGGGAGGCGGGUAUAGGACAGUAGGGAAUGGGGGGACUGUACGUGUUCAUUCAAAGGGGAACAUGGCCACUUAUUGCCAUGGGGAAUGUGGGAGUAGUGAAGCCUCAUCUUCCAUUUUUAAUGAUACUCCAGAAUGCUGAAUUCCAUGUGAAGUUUCUUGAUAUUUAAAUAUUGGCAACCAAAAAGAAAAAAGAAACCCACUGUAUUAGCCAAAUAAAACAUAUCUGCAGGUUU